GGAAGUAAAAGUCGUAACAAGAUUUCCGUAGGUGAACCUGCGGAAGGAUCCUUCAUAAUAAAGUGUUUUAUGGCACUUUUUAAAAAUCCAUAUCCACCUUGUGUGCAAUGUUAGAUCUCGUCAAUCUUGGCGAGAUUUUUAUACAUCAACUCAUUCUUUAACUAAUUUGUCUGAAAAAUAUUAUGAAUACUUAAUUCAAAAUACAACUUUCAACAACGGAUCUCUUGGCUCUC
rnacentral:misc_RNA from 1 species